ensembl:lncRNA
GGGUUACAAUAGACUUUGAGGCAGGGGACAUUUUACCAACAUAAAUACAAACCUGUCCCUAUAGGGAGAUGUUGUCAAAUACUGGGAUAUGGAAAACAUUCCCAUCAAAUAUGAGAAAAGGAUUAUUGCGCUAUAUCAAAUGAGUAUUUAGGUCUCAGCCUCCAUGUGCACUGGAGUGAAACGGAGCCCCGGGGACCAAAUAAUGCAAGACUGUUUGAGUGGCAAGGGUGACUAGGCGGAGGGUUGGCUGCUGGAACGCCUGGUGGUACUUGAAUUCACAGCACACACAUGGACGUUUUCGGGUUGUUUGUUUGCUUCCAAAGCAGUGCAGAAUAAAGCUGAGAGGCGCCGACCGGUUGACCAUUGCAGCCGACUGGUCUACGCUCCGGAUUCGCAUUGGAUUCAUCCAGACCGCCAAGAGAUGAAUUCAGGGUGUGCUCUCUUAAGUCUGCCAACUGAGAGCUCCGGGAUUGCCAUCGCCCCUCUUCGCACUGAGCCAUUGUGCUACCCUGCGCCGCAGUAACCACUGCUUUUUAGUUUUGUUUUCUCGCAUUAGGGGAGCAUCUCUGUGCAUUUGUGGAAGUAUUCUGCUUUAGGCCAAACCUAUACACACAGUAUCACUUUAAACAGUUUUAUGCUGUCAUCUUGUGCAAAGGUCCUCUCCCACCCGUACACAAAGACACUGGGGUGGGGGUGGGGAGGCCCCAUCCCUUAUUCAUAACUAGCUUGCUCAGUCCGUGGGCAUUUGAAUGGGGUGAUGCGAGACCUCCGUUUGAUCUCUCAAAGACCGUUAGGCAGAACGCAGAUCAUAUGCGGUGACUUUGGGGGCGCUAGCGUGGCCCCUCCAUCCGCUCCCUGAAAGUUUAGACCCAGUGCUUAAACACAAACUCCAAAAGAGCACUUGCCGGCUUUUCAGGACAGAGACUUUAUUUUUUAUUACAACGUGGAGGUGUAGAAAGGUAAACUCUGCGCCACAGAGGGAGGACUAUUUUCCCCUUUGAAAUAGCUUGCAAAACGGGUCGUCGUCCUUGGACCAGCAGGUUUUCAAAAGCAUGUUCUUCUGCAGCGGCAAAAGGGGAAAAACAACAACAACAACAACAACGUUGCAAAAAGAACUCAAGAAAGCCCCCAUUUCUCGAACCAGUUCCAAUGCCCUACCUCCAACUCCUUCAGCCAGUGGCCGCAGGGCCUGGCUCCCCCCAACUUAAAAGCUCUUCUCGCGCCGGGACCCUAGUGCACCCGCAGCGCUCAGAUAGGUUCCGGAUAUCCCCGAGCCGUGUUUCUGUGGCCAAGUGUGGGAAUGAAAGCCGCCUCGGGCCCGGUGCCGCCAAAUCGGGCCUGGAGGGAGGGGGGAAAAGAGUUGAAGGGGAACUGCCACCCGCCUCGCCCAGAGGCACCCUCACGCUCAUCCGCGCAGGUCCUCCCUUCCCCGCCCCGCGGGCGCUGCCGCGUCCCGAGUGCUGCAGUCCCUCCCGUGCAAGCAGGGGAGGCGCGGGGAG